GUGGAUUCUCAAGCGUGAGGUAAGAGCAUUUGGUGGAUGCCUUGGCAUGUACAGGCGAAGAAGGACGUGGCACGCUGCGAUAAGCGUCGGGGAGCUGUGAGCAAGCUUUGAUCCGGCGAUUUCCGAAUGGGGAAACCCACCUUCACCAUUUCUCUCGUUGUUCGAGCGAUCGGACAGUGAGUGAGGUGGAUAAGGUAUCAUCAGGUUGAAUACAUAGACUUGGUGAAGCGAACCCGGGGAACUGAAACAUCUAAGUACCCGGAGGAAAAGACAUCAACCGAGAUUCCGUUAGUAGUGGCGAGCGAACGCGGACCAGGCCAGUGCCUUCAUUUUAACUAGCAGAACACUUUGGAAAGAGUGGCCAUAGCGGGUGACAGCCCCGUAUGCGAAAGCGAUGAUGAAGGACUCGAGUAGGGCGGGACACGUGAAAUCCUGUCUGAACAUGGGGGGACCACCCUCCAAGCCUAAAUACUCGUACAUGACCGAUAGCGAACAAGUACCGUGAGGGAAAGGUGAAAAGCACCCCGAUGAGGGGAGUGAAACAGUACCUGAAACCGAAUGCUUACAAGCAGUUGGAGCCUCUUUAGGGGGUGACAGCGUACCUCUUGCAUAAUGGGUCAGUGACUUAAUGUACCAUGCGAGCUUAAGCCGUUAGGUGUAGGCGCAGCGAAAGCGAGUCUGAAUAGGGCGACAGAGUAUGGUGUAUUAGACCCGAAACCCGGCGAUCUAGGCAUGACCAGGUUGAAGGUGCGGUAACACGCACUGGAGGACCGAACCGGUGAAUGUUGAAAAAUUCUCGGAUGAGUUGUGUUUAGGGGUGAAAGGCCAAUCAAGCCGGGAAAUAGCUGGUUCUCCGCGAAAUCUAUUGAGGUAGAGCGUCGGAUGUAUGCCGUUGGGGGUAGAGCACUGGAUGGAUGCGGGGGUCGCGAGAUCUACCAAUUCUAACCAAACUCCGAAUACCAACGAGACUUAUCCGGCAGACAGACGGCGGGUGCUAAGGUCCGUCGUCAAAAGGGAAACAGCCCUAACCUACAGCUAAGGUCCCCAAGUCAUCACUAAGUGGGAAAGCAUGUGGGAAUCCCAAAACAACCAGGAGGUUGGCUUAGAAGCAGCCAUCCUUUAAAGAAAGCGUAACAGCUCACUGGUCUAAAUAAGGGUUCCUGCGGCGAAAAUGUAACGGGGCUAAA
rnacentral:rRNA from 1 species